GUAGAGUUGUCCGAGCGGCCGAAGGAGCAGCACUGGAAAUGCUGUGUACCUUUCAGGUACCGAGGGUUCAAAUCCCUCACUCUACGCCA
rnacentral:tRNA from 1 species